AUAAGCUGAAGGCAUCCAAAGGGAAUCGAUAAUGUGAGCAGCUGAAACAAGGAUAUGCCUGAGAAGCUAGCUAAUGACCCAUUGAUUUGAACAACACAUCAUCCUAGAUGAAGCAAAGUGUGUGAAACAAUAUUCUUUUCCCUAUAGAACUAGAGGGUUUAUUUUUUUCUUCUGUUGUUAAUUUCAGUCAAACUGUUUUUAGGUUUGCCAAGCACCAUGCUCGGUUGUGAGAAAUUCAUAACAACAACAAUUUAAAAUUUCAAUGGACCUCGAUACUUUUCAUGGCUACAAAACAUGAACAUGAUGGAUCUCCUUUGUUAUGCAUCUUGAAGAUUAUCUACUUCAUAACUUGUUUGCACAUAAACUUUCAAAAGAAGUGAUGAAAUGAUAAACCACUGAACCAUCAUUGAUUUGAAUGGACAUCAACCCUAACCAAUUAUAAACAUUACCGGUGCCCUUUACAUUAGAAAAAGUAAACAAGCACACACGGAAAAGAAAACCAUUAACACAACAACAGAGUUGCAAAGAGGAAAUCAUGUGAAAUACUGGAGAGUAUUGAAAAUUACAUCUCACCUGUGUAGCCAUGUUUUAUAGUAAAGCUCCUCAAGAAUUUGAAAUCCUGGGUGCUAUGCC